GAUGAACGCUGGCGGCGUGCCUAAUACAUGCAAGUCGAGCGAACAGACGAGGAGCUUGCUCCUCUGACGUUAGCGGCGGACGGGUGAGUAACACGUGGAUAACCUACCUAUAAGACUGGGAUAACUUCGGGAAACCGGAGCUAAUACCGGAUAAUAUAUUGAACCGCAUGGUUCAAUAGUGAAAGAGGGUUUUGCCGUCACUUAUAGAUGGAUCCGCGCCGCAUUAGCUAGUUGGUAAGGUAACGGCUUACCAAGGCAACGAUGCGUAGCCGACCUGAGAGGGUGAUCAGCCACACUGGAACUGAGACACGGUCCAGACUCCUACGGGAGGCAGCAGUAGGGAAUCUUCCGCAAUGGGCGAAAGCCUGACGGAGCAACGUCGCGUGAGUGAUGAAGGUCUUCGGAUCGUAAAACUCUGUUAUUAGGGAAGAACAAAUGUGUAAGUAACUAUGCACGUCUUGACGGUACCUAAUCAGAAAGCCACGGCUAACUACGUG
rnacentral:rRNA from 1 species